rnacentral:rRNA from 1 species
CCUACGGGUGGCUGCAGUGGGGAAUAUUGGACAAUGGGGGGAACCCUGAUCCAGCCAUGCCGCGUGUGUGAAGAAGGCCCUCGGGUUGUAAAGCACUUUCAGUGGGGAAGAACGCCUGGUGGUUAAUACCCAUCAGGAAAGACAUCACUCACAGAAGAAGCACCGGCUAACUCCGUGCCAGCAGCCGAGGUAAUACGGAGGGUGCGAGCGUUAAUCGGAAUUACUGGGCGUAAAGCGCGCGUAGGUGGCUUGAUAAGCCGGUUGUGAAAGCCCCGGGCUCAACCUGGGAACGGCAUCCGGAACUGUCAAGCUAGAGUGCAGGAGAGGAAGGUAGAAUUCCCGGUGUAGCGGUGAAAUGCGUAGAGAUCGGGAGGAAUACCAGUGGCGAAGGCGGCCUUCUGGACUGACACUGACACUGAGGUGCGAAAGCGUGGGUAGCAAACAGGAUUAGAUACCCCGGGAGUC